AAAUAGUUUUUAAAGAAAUUUCCAGGCUGGGCGCGAUAGCUUACACCUGUAAUCCCAGCACUUUGGGAGGCCAAGGCAGGAGGAUAGCUUGAGGUUAGGAGGUCAAGACC